GNAGCUCAGUGGUAGAGUGCUCGCCUAGCAUGUGUGAGACACUGGGUUCAAUUCUCAGCAUCACA
rnacentral:tRNA from 1 species